CACUAUAGGUUGGUGCAAAAGUAAUUGCGGUUUUUGCAAUUAAAAGUAAUGGCAAAAAUCGCAAUUGCUUUUGCACCAACCUAAUAGCU
ensembl:miRNA